UUAAGCGAACAAGCGUACACGGUGGAUGCCCUGGCAGUCAGAGGCGAUGAAGGACGUGCUAAUCUGCGAAAAGCGCCGGUAAGGUGAUAUGAACCGUUAUAACCGGCGAUGUCCGAAUGGGGAAACCCGGCUGCACUUCGGUGCAUCAUCGUUAGCUGAAUUACAUAGGCUAACGAGGCGAACCGGGGGAACUGAAACAUCUAAGUACCCCGAGGAAAAGAAAUCAACCGAGAUUCCCCCCAGUAGCGGCGAGGCGAACGGGGAACAGCCCAGAGCCUGAAUCAGCUUGUGUGUCAGUGGAACGGUCUGGAAAGGCCGGCGAUACAGGGUGACAGCCCCGUACACGAAGGCACACAGGCUGUGAGCUCGAUGAGUAGGGCGGGACACGUGAUAUCCUGUCUGAAGAUGGGGGGACCAUCCUCCAAGGCUAAAUACUCCUGACUGACCGAUAGUGAACCAGUACCGUGAGGGAAAGGCGAAAAGAACCCCGGCGAGGGGAGUGAAACAGAACCUGAAACCGUGUACGUACAAGCAGUGGGAGCCUUCGUAAGGAGGGUGGACUGCGUACCUUUUUGUAUAAUGGGUCAGCGACUUAUAUUCUGUAGCAAGGUUAACCGUAUAGGGGAGCCGAAGGGAAACCGAGUCUUAACCGGGCGUUAAGUUGCAGGGUAUAGACCCGAAACCCGGUGAUCUAGCCAUGGGCAGGUUGAAGGUUGGGUAACACUAACUGGAGGACCGAACCGACUAAUGUUGAAAAAUUAGCGGAUGACCUGUGGCUGGGGGUGAAAGGCCAAUCAAACCGGGGAGAUAGCUGGUUCUCCCCGAAAGCUAUUUAGGUAGCGGCCUCGUGAACUCAUCUCCGGGGUAGAGCACUGUUUCGGCUAGGGGGCCAUCCCGGCUUACCAACCCGAUGCAAACUGCGAAUACCGGAGAAUGUUAUCACGGGAGACACACGGCGGGUGCUAACGUCCGUCGUGAAGAGGGAAACAACCCAGACCGCCAGCUAAGGUCCCAAAGUCCAUGGUUAAGUGGGAAACGAUGUGGGAAGGCCCAGACAGCCAGGAUGUUGGCUUAGAAGCAGCCAUCAUUUAAAGAAAGCGUAAUAGCUCACUGGUCGAGUCGGCCUGCGCGGAAGAUGUAACGGGGCUAAACCAUGCACCGAAGCUGCGGCAGCGACGCUUAUGCGUUGUUGGGUAGGGGAGCGUUCUGUAAGCCUGCGAAGGUGUGCUGUGAGGCAUGCUGGAGGUAUCAGAAGUGCGAAUGCUGACAUAAGUAACGAUAAAGCGGGUGAAAAGCCCGCUCGCCGGAAGACCAAGGGUUCCUGUCCAACGUUAAUCGGGGCAGGGUGAGUCGACCCCUAAAGGCGAGGCCGAAAGGCGUAGUCGAUGGGAAACAGGUUAAUAUUCCUGUACUUGGUGUUACUGCGAAGGGGGGACGGAGAAGGCUAUGUCGGCCGGGCGACGGUUGUCCCGGUUUAAGCGUGUAGGCUGACUUUCCAGGCAAAUCCGGAAAGUUAAGGCUGAGGCGUGAUGACGAGGCACCACGGUGCUGAAGUGACAAAUGCCCUGCUUCCAGGAAAAGCCUCUAAGCAUCAGGUAACAUCAAAUCGUACCCCAAACCGACACAGGUGGUCAGGUAGAGAAUACCAAGGCGCUUGAGAGAACUCGGGUGAAGGAACUAGGCAAAAUGGUGCCGUAACUUCGGGAGAAGGCACGCUGACAUGUAGGUGAAGCCCCUGCGGGUGGAGCUGAAGUCAGUCGAAGAUACCAGCUGGCUGCAACUGUUUAUUAAAAAACACAGCACUGUGCAAACACGAAAGUGGACGUAUACGGUGUGACGCCUGCCCGGUGCCGGAAGGUUAAUUGAUGGGGUUAUCGCAAGAGAAGCUCCUGAUCGAAGCCCCGGUAAACGGCGGCCGUAACUAUAACGGUCCUAAGGUAGCGAAAUUCCUUGUCGGGUAAGUUCCGACCUGCACGAAUGGCGUAAUGAUGGCCAGGCUGUCUCCACCCGAGACUCAGUGAAAUUGAACUCGCUGUGAAGAUGCAGUGUACCCGCGGCAAGACGGAAAGACCCCGUGAACCUUUACUACAGCUUGACACUGAACAUUGAGCCUUGAUGUGUAGGAUAGGUGGGAGGCUUUGAAGCGUGGACGCCAGUCUGCGUGGAGCCGACCUUGAAAUACCACCCUUUAAUGUUUGAUGUUCUAACCUGGCGCCAUAAUCUGGCGUGGGGACAGUGUCUGGUGGGUAGUUUUGACUGGGGCGGUCUCCUCCCAAAGUGUAACGGAGGAGCACGAAGGUCAGCUAAUCCUGGUCGGACAUCAGGAGGUUAGUGCAAUGGCAUAAGCUGGCUUGACUGCGAGAGUGACGGCUCGAGCAGGUGCGAAAGCAGGUCAUAGUGAUCCGGUGGUUCUGUAUGGAAGGGCCAUCGCUCAACGGAUAAAAGGUACUCCGGGGAUAACAGGCUGAUACCGCCCAAGAGUUCAUAUCGACGGCGGUGUUUGGCACCUCGAUGUCGGCUCAUCACAUCCUGGGGCUGAAGUAGGUCCCAAGGGUAUGGCUGUUCGCCAUUUAAAGUGGUACGCGAGCUGGGUUUAGAACGUCGUGAGACAGUUCGGUCCCUAUCUGCCGUGGGCGCUGGAGAAUUGAGGGGGGCUGCUCCCAGUACGAGAGGACCGGAGUGGACGCAUCACUGGUGUUCGGGUUGUCAUGCCAAUGGCACUGCCCGGUAGCUAAAUGCGGAAGAGAUAAGUGCUGAAAGCAUCUAAGCACGAAACUUGCCCCGAGAUGAGUUCUCCCUGAGACUAUAAGUCUCCUGAAGGAACGUUGAAGACGACGACGUUGAUAGGCCGGGUGUGUAAGCGCAGCGAUGCGUUGAGCUAACCGGUACUAAUGAACCGUGAGGCUUAACCUU
rnacentral:rRNA from 1 species